ensembl:lncRNA
UGAAGUGUGUGAUUUUACAGUUUCUUUGAAAAACAGUCAUUGUUACUUCAUUUAGGACAGUCAGAAGAAAUAAUCUGGGAGGCUGUCUAGAAGGUGCUCAUAGGAGUUAAGCAGCUUCUUUAACUAGUGGAGUCGCCUAUUCCAAGAUUUAACCCUGUUAAGAUUGGAUUCUAUUUCAGAGGGGUUAAGGCACUUCACCUCAGCGUGUGUACUUCUGCCUUCCCUCUGCUCUCCUGCUCCACUGCAGCACAUCUGCUGCUGGCCAGGCCCUUGGAACAGCUGUGGUGUUCUUUUGUGCUGAAGCAAAUACAGAGCCCUCAUACUGUCAGUAUUGAUACUCAGAUGAGGAACAGUAAACAUGAGAAACGAGGAGAGGUUAACUUAAGCUGCACCAACUCAGCUGGCAGUGCACAUACACUACAGGAAAAGAGUUGUCUUUGCCAUGUGAAGUGGGCUAUUGGGACCACUUAACACAUGUACAGAAGCUUUAAAAAAGCAGCAACACUGACAGAUAGCUGCCAUUUGAAGAGUCUUUUAACAUCAAAACAAAAUCUCAAACUAUACCCCUUCAGCAACAGUCUGAGCAAAUAGGAUAGCAUUGCCCACAUCGCUGGUUGUGCCUUCUGGAGAUGCUGCUCAAAAGAAUCUCGAGCUGAAAAUAUCCACCCUUCACCUGCCUGCAUUCAAACUGAGAUCCAAACACACCUCAUCCCUCAGCCUCCAGGAUGGCAGACCAAGGACAAAAACACAGGGCUGACAGUCUCUAGCAUUAAAAAUCGCAAGUUGGAUACUCAGCAUUCAAAGCUUUACCCUAAAGAUGAUGGAUUCAAAAAUUAAAUGUGUCUCCACAUUUUUUAAGCC